rnacentral:rRNA from 1 species
GAUGGGGACAACAGCUGGAAACGGCUGCUAAUACCGAAUGCGUUCUUUUUGUCGCAUGGCAGAGGGAAGAAAGGGAGGCUCUUCGGAGCUUUCGCUGAAGGAGGGGCUUGCGUCUGAUUAGCUAGUUGGAGGGGUAACGGCCCACCAAGGCGACGAUCAGUAGCCGGUCUGAGAGGAUGAACGGCCACAUUGGGACUGAGACACGGCCCAGACUCCUACGGGAGGCAGCAGUGGGGAAUCUUCCGCAAUGGACGAAAGUCUGACGGAGCAACGCCGCGUGAACGAUGACGGCCUUCGGGUUGUAAAGUUCUGUUAUACGGGACGAAUGGCGUAGCGGUCAAUACCCGUUACGAGUGACGGUACCGUAAGAGAAAGCCACGGCUAACUACGUG